rnacentral:rRNA from 1 species
GUUGAUCAUGGCUCAGAACGAACGCUGGCGGCGCGUCUUAAGCAUGCAAGUCGAACGGCAAGAGGUAGCAAUACCUCCUAGAGUGGCGGACUGGUGAGUAACACGUGGGUGACAUACCCUUCAGAUGGGGAUAGCUAUUAGAAAUAGUAGAUAAUACCGAAUACGAGCACAGGGGUUAGAGAUCUGUGAGGAAAGGAGCUAAGGCUCCGCUGAAGGAAUGGCCUGCGGCCCAUUAGCUAGUUGGUGAGGUAAGAGCCCACCAAGGCGAUGAUGGGUAUCCGGCCUUAGAGGGUGAACGGACACAUUGGGACUGAGAUACGGCCCAGACUCCUACGGGAGGCAGCAGCUAAGAAUAUUCCGCAAUGGACGAAAGUCUGACGGAGCGACGCCGCGUGGAUGAAGAAGGCCGGAAGGUUGUAAAAUCCUUUUGAAACUGAAGAAUAAGCGUUGUAGGGAAUGACAGCGUGGUGACAGUAGGUUUUGAAUAAGCAACGGCUAAUUACGUGCCAGCCGCCGC